UUCCAUUUUCCGAUUGAUAUUCUGAAUUUUUUCUUAGGUGUUUUAAUGAAAAGUUUUUUAAAAAAAUGUAUCUGAGAGAUCUGUGUCUAUCCAAAAUCAUAAUUUAUUGCCUUAAGGAUGUGUAAUACACUAUAACAACACAUUCCCACCCCAACAUAUCAUUCUUGUAACUUAAAGCUAUUUCUCAAUCUUAGAAAUUUUGGGGGCAAUCUUAGAAAUUAUUAUGAGAUGUUAAAAUCUGGACAGUUUCCCCAAAGUAGCUUAAAGCAGAGAGAUGUGGACCUUGUGGGGUUUUCCUCAAAAUCAUCAUGAGCUGUCAUCAUCCUUUACAAUAUCUUUUAUGUCAGUAAAUAUGCUCUAUAAAUAAUCCAAUUGCCUGAUAUUUAAAUCAACUCAGUAAAAGUUAAUUGUGUCCCUAAGAUAUUCUAGGAUGCUAAUGGGCUCUGGGCCUUCAACAGUGAAUGCCUUGCCCCACCCCCAUGGAGUCAGGAUCUAGCAUGCUGUACAAAUAUAAUGUAAAUCAAUACACACUCUGACAGAAAGGCAAAACAGAGAGGAGUGUCCUUAAUUCUGCCUGGGGUUUAAGAAUCAGGGCAGAUUUCACAGAGGAGGCAACAGCUGACCAGAGUGCUCAAUUUCCUAGUUAAAACAGAGCCAAACAGAGGAUGAUCAGAACUAUCGCUUUAAUUAAAAAAAAAAAUCAGAAUAAAUGUGAAACACUUGGGAUUUUUAUUUCUGUUCAGAACUGUAGAAAAAUAAGGGUGAUGAUGACGACAGUGGUGUUGAUGGAUGUUACCGGUUACUGACCCAGCAUCUGGCUGGGUCUGCUUCCCCUUUCCUGGCUAGCACCUUAAUUUUCCUUCUGCUGCUUAAGCCUCUUCUGAACUGUAGCAACGACGUGGUUUUGGAGGUUGACCCCAGCUCAGGUGUGAGCUGUAAUUAAUCUAAGUCAGUUAACAAGAUCCCAUCCCCCUGCCAGUGGUUGGCUUAAGAACCCAAACCUGUAGUAAACAGAGUGGGGCGUUCUCUGUUCUCAGAGAUAGGUUCAGGAAAGGGCACAAGACUAUAUUUGGGCCAAUGAAAUGUAAGGGCAGUUUUGAAAAGGGGAUUCUGGGAAACUUUUCCUUAUUCUUAGAGGAAAACCUUAGGGGUGCUCUCUGUUGCUGGCCUAGGAAUACGGCCGACAUCUGAUUCCCAGCCUGAAGAUGAAGCUGGUUACUCAGAAACGUUCCUCACCCCUCCUCCUGCUCCAGGAAUCACAGGGCAGUGGAGACAGAGCCGUCGAGUGAACUAAAUUUGAAAACCUGCCUGACUUAUGGAUUUCCAGAUUUUUACUUCUUAGCGGGAGCGCCGUGCUUGGCUCUGUGGCUUGAGCCAGUAGCGCUGAGUCCACCAGGAGUCAAGUUCAUAGAUUCACGGAGAACCUACCAUCUGCUUGGUCACUUUGUACCUGAGGUCCACCUGGCUCUUUCUCCACUAAGCAUCCUGCACGGUUUCCAGCAUUCACUUCUCUAGAGAUUCCUCUGGCUGCUGUGAAGACGGUAGGCAAGGGAGCCCACUUAGAAGCCCAGCGUGGUGGUACAGGUAAGCGGUCCCAGCGAUUUGGAUUACGGGCUGGCCGUGGAGGAGCUGGUUGGCUAAAGCUUGAAGAGUGAGUUUCAGGGAUUGAUCAUUGAUUGGAUAUGGGAGAAAAGGAAGUAAUGGCAAUAAUGGCUCUAGAAAGUUAUAAGAGAAUUCCUUCAUUAAAGAUUCAGAGUCAAUAUGUUUAACAAAUCAUUUAAGGGGUAAAAUAUGAAUAAUAACCUUUUCUUGCUUGAUUUUAAAAACUGUAUUUCUAUAAGUUUUAAUUAAAACCUUUAACUAUUUAAGUGUAAAGUUGUUUUAGGUAUAAUUUUCCCUUAAUGUAUGCUUAGUUUUAUGUACUCUUUAAAUGAAAAACUCUGGAUAGCAUCUUCAAUCUAUGAUCUGUGUUUCUAUUGUCAUAACCAUGUUCUGUUCAUGGCAAGAUUUAUACUCUGUGUGUGUGUGUGUGUGUGUGUGUGUGUGUGUGUGUGUGUGUGUAAUAUAUACUUAGUGUGCAUUGUAUACCCCAUUAAAAUAAUCCAAGGAUAACAUAAAAAGCGGUAUUUGGGUUUUAAUGUAUCUAUUUUUUAUUGCUGUUUAUUUUUCUCUAUCAGUAUCUGUAGUCUUUUUCUGUGUACCAGCUGUAAGCCAUAUAUCCUUAAAAACACUGUUUCUUUCAUCCAGAAAUGUGGUUGUAUCAAUGCCAACAGCACUUCCUAUAAUACUGUCUCCUGAUGCUUUGCUAAAAUGAUGAAAGUCAAUUAUGGCUUGAAAAAAAUGCAAAAAAAUAGGAAAACCUUAGGAACUGGAAGAAUACUGGCACUUUGAUUAUGUCAACUAUCUGGAUGGAGAAAUAGAAAGAGAGAGAAAAGAGUAGAUAAGGGAAGAAGAGAAAAGUGAGAGAAAAAUCUGAAUAGGCUCCUAACUAGAAAGCUCAAAGAUUGCACUAACCUGGCAGACAUACCUGGGUAUUUGUGUGUAUUUUAGACAGUUCUACAAGCAGGAGUGAGUACAAGGGAUAAAAUGUGGUGUGAAAAAGAGACAUUGAAACACAAUUUUUUCAGGCUAAACUUUCUCAACUAGAAGUCAUUUAUGGAGUUCAGUGGGUGCAUACAGCUUUAUGCUGUACCUGAUAUGAGAUAUAAUCUACAAGGAAGAAAAUAAUUUGACCCUAUUUUUCAGGCCUUGGUAUAAUAAAGGCUUCCCUGCUGUCCCCAUUAUCACAAUAGCUUAAAUGAAUUUUCCACUCAUUAUCUGCCAACUAGGAGGUAAUUGGAUCUAAGAAAGAGAAAGCAAGUAUGUAUUAUUGCAGGUGAAAGGCCAGAGAAGUUCUUUAUGUUGGCAUCCUGCCUUCUGGAGAAAUGCAGGUGACAGCAGGGUUUUCUAGGCACUUUCAUAGCUUCUUGGGGCUGAUGGAUAGUUUGCAGCAGGCAAUUGUGGACAAGAAGCAGAAACUCAAAUAAAUGUUAGCUAUUGGUAGCCCUAAUAAUGAAUAUCAUGAAAGGCUAUAGACAUUAUUUUCCUAAAACUAAUUUUAACAGUUCUGUAGAGGUUACCCAAAAUAGUGAGAGAGUUCCUGGACCAUGGUGGAAGCAGAUUCUUUAGAUAGUUUGAUGUCUUUGUCUGAACUGUAAUCUAAAGCACAAGUUUGCUAUAAUUUGAUACUGUUAUUAUUAUUAUUUUUUUGCUUUUGUAUCAGGUUCUGAAAGCACUAUCCCCAAAUGGAACUAUUUUUUCCUGUCUCUGGUUGCAAAAGGUGAUUUCAGUAUCACUCCUACUUGAGUGGUAAUCAGGAAUGCCUCAAAUAUGAAUCUACCCUAAGAAGUUGCAGUUAAGCAAAAGAAAAUCAUAGUUUGAAAUAAUCAUUUGAAAGUACCCACUCAAUGAUGGUAUGGUAAAUAUGCAGCUCUCUAAAUCAAUGCCUCUAUCUAACUGUAAAAGGAAUCCAGCCAUUAUAGAACCUACAGAACCAU